AUGGCGGCGGGGCCGAUGGCGCUGAGGCGGGCGGGGGCGGCGGCGCGGGGCCGCGGCGUCCUCACCCGCGGCAUCCUCACCCGCGCGGCGCCGCCUCGUCACCGCGGGCCGCUGCCGCGCACGCCCUGGACCACCCGCGGGCCGCCGCCGGAGGAGCUGGCCCGGGCGGUGGAGCGGCGGCCGGUGCGGGAGCAGGUGGAGCUGGACACCGUCACGUACGCCGGGCGGCAGCACUUCGUGCCCGGCCUGGCCCGGCCGCGCUUCCCGCCCUGGGACCGCGGCUGGCACGACCCCUGGCACUCGCCGGGGCCGCGCUACGAGGAGAUGCCGCUCUACAAGGAGCGCGGCUGCUACAUCUGCCACCAGGGCGUCCGCAUGCUGGAAGGAGUUCGGCAAGCGCAGUGGCUCACCAAGACGAAGCUGGUGGAAGGCUUACCCCCGGCGGUGCUCGGCAUCAUCGACAACCCGGCUCACCGGCUCGAGGACCACGAGGAGGGGGUAAAGCGUGCGAUCUCACAUGCGCGGCUCUGGGACACGACAGAAGUUGCUCCCAGGAGAGAACAUUAUUGCCCAGUACUGUUUGAAGACUUGAUACAUUUAUGUCGGUUGAUGUCUAUGAAGUAUCCUUCUCUGACUAAAAGAAUGUUGGCUAGAAACUACAAGAUAGCAGCUACGUGGGAAAGAGAAUCCAUUCUCCUUCAGGUCCGCGGCCUGAAUGGAAUACUUAUGAACUCUAUGGCCCCAAUACCACCAGUAGCCUCCAAGGAGGAGAUACUGGCCACUGAAGAACAUGUUCUGGAGACCUUCUAUCCCAUCUCUCCUACAAUUGAUCUUCAGGAAGUGAAUGUGUACAAAGAGCUCAACGAUACAGGUUUUAAAGAUGGUUAUCCAUACUCUCAUCCUCACACUCUGUUUUUCCUGGAAUCGGCCAACAUUCGUCCUAACAGGUUCAGACCAGAACAACUUCGCGCUAAAAUGCUGAUGUUUGCUUUUGGCAACGCGCUGGCAAAGGCUAAGGUGCUGUACGGGAAUGAUCCCAAGGUUUUGGAGCAGCCAAUAGUGGUGCAAAGCGUUGGCACAGAUGGCCAGCUCUUCCAGUUCAUGGUGUUCCAGUUAAAUACAACAGACCUUGUCUCUAGUGAUGGCAUAAAAAAUCUAGUCUGGAUUGACUCUGAUCAGAAUCUGUAUGAAAAAGCCCAGUGUAUUCCCGAAGUCAAGAAAAGAGUUGUUAUGAAGCCCGCUGGAAUAUAUGGCUUUCAGCCAGACACAUUCAAGAAGUUUCUGGCACUGUAUCUGCAUGGAACUGUGUGAAAUUCAGCUCAAAUGAAAAUACUUCACCAACUGUACCUGCUGCUUCUCUUUGCCAGAACCAUCACAUAAUUAAAGAAAGGGGCUCACCUCUGGAUUCGGGUUAGAGACAGUCAUCAAAUGCAUCCUCCUGCACUCUUCCACCGUUGCCUAGAAAGAACGUAAGCCAGUCAUUAUUCCUCUGCGCAGGUUCGGCUCUCGGUGUGCUUUUGCACAGAGCUAGUCUCAAACCUAUUUUCCGAGGUUGCUUUGAGUACCUCUGAAUGCAGUGUAUGUGGAAGAGACUUACAAAGCUUCAAGAGGGGAGCCUGAGACGUGAGCCUUUUUCAUUCUGCCUGGCUUUUACUUUGUUUUACUCCUGGCUGCUUUUGGGAUGUGUCGUGCUGCCCUGUGCUUAGUUCCUGAAACACUUAACCGGUGAGAUUGCUUUGUUGGAUCUAUAGAACCACAGUUCUUUUAUCCCCCAAUUUUGGAUGAAGAUAUCUAUCCAUUUUGGGAAAGUGAUGUAGAAUGUAGCAUGAAACUUUGGUGCCUGGUAGCUGGUAUUUGCUGCUAAAAACACAAAGGAAGGAUAUCUUCCUGCCAUACAGAGUUAACUGAGCAGGAAGCAUAUUUUUUUAAGAUGGGGGGGAUCAGUGUGGUUUUUGUAAAAUGAAGGCUAAAUUAGCUCCAGCCAAAUGUAGAAUGUUUUGCAGUUCUGCACUGAUACCCUCCAGCACAUGGGAAGGAAUAGGACAGCCUGCGCUAUUUUAAGGUGUGGAAGAGCAUAUUUCCAAGAAAUUCAUCUCACUUCAGUGUCUUGUGUCAGAGACUGGUCUGUGCUUCGUGAUCUUUUCUGGCCAUCUGGAUGAACACCCCAGUUGCGUGUUCCAGUCUCAAUCCAUCAGACAGCUCUACUCUGCAGGUUUCAGAAAACAUACUUUCACUAGUCAAAUUUGAGACCAACAGUUGCACCCAGUAAAUUGGGAUGCCUCAGCUGUAAGUUAAAUAAACAAAUCCCUCAUAGUUAGGAGAAGAUGCUUGGAAGAGAAAUAAUCUAGUAAGUGUUGCAUUGAUCUAAAUCAUGUUAAUUCUGGCUGCUCAAGGGAUGCCUAAUUCAGCUCAUCUAUUUAAAUCUGUUCAGAUCUGUAAUUUGCACCCAGUUACUUAGGAAUAUAUUUUAAUACACUCAUGCUCUGUGGAGACUGUUCCGGUAGGUGUUUCUUUCUCAGGCUGUUGGCUCAUGCUGUGUCACAGGGACCCUGCUGAACAGCUCUAGGCAGCAGCCCUUGGACUAUUAACAUCCCCUCACCCUUCCAGCUUUGGGUCAUUACCCGUCUUAAGGAGGAAACCCUGUAGGGCAGCCAGCUGCCGCGUUAACAUUCCUGAGCAGAGCAGUUUCACUAAGGAAGCCUGGUAGAAGAGUGGCUGCGGUGGAGAGGGGGUGUGGAGAAAUGAAACGCCUCGCAUGCUUCUAGUAGGUGUGGGAAUCUGUGAAGAUGGUCUACAUGGGAAAGAGCCAAAGUCCCUUUAGAUGGUUUUUACCUCUCAGCAAAGACAUCUCUAUUAUGACAGGCAGUAGAAGAGGAGAAACUAAGUGAAGCUGG